CCCUUAGAUGUCCGGGGCUGCACGCGCGCUACACUGAAGGAAUCAGCGUGCUAAAACCAUUGUCGAAAGGCAUUGGUAAACCCAUUAAAAUCCUACGUGAUUGGGAUCGGGAAUUGCAAUUAUUUCCCUUGAACGAGGAAUUCCCAGUAAGUGUGGGUCAUAAGCUCGCGUUGAUUACGUCCCUGCCCUUUGUACACACCGCCCGUCGCUCCUACCGAUUGAAUGUGUUGGUGAGGAGCUCGGAUUGGCAGCGGUUGGUGGUUCGCCACCGGCCAUUGCUGAGAAGUCCUCCAAACCGCCCCAUUUAGAGGAAGGAGAAGUCGUAACA
rnacentral:rRNA from 1 species